AACAACGGACCAGAAUCAGGAGGAAUGUGUCACCACCACCGACGUUAACCAAGAAAAUCCGAAUGCUGCCACUCAUUGGAGCCCGUGUCACUGGUUUUCCUGGCACAGAAAAUUUAUACAGUCUUCCACCAAAGUGACCACUGUCCUGAGCCUUCUUCCUGGACAUUGAGGGGCUGUCCUGGAGUCCUGGAGAUUCUCGG